UGCUAGUCAGCGCUUUCUAGCUAAUAUGAAAGUGCGGCAUACAGCUCAGUAACACGUGGCUAACCUGCCCUUGGGACGGAGACACCCCCGGGAAACUGGGGUUAAUUUCCGAUAGGUGAAAAAUUCUGGAAUGAAUUUUCGCUCAAAAGAGGUUUAUGUUAUGCUCAUAUUCUUCGCCCAGGGAUGGGGCCGCGACCGAUCAGGUUGUUGGUGAGGUAAUGGCUCACCAAGCCUUUUACCGGUACGGGCCGUGAGAGCGGGAGCCCGGAGAUGGGCACUGAGACAAGGGCCCAGGCCCUACGGGGCGCAGCAGUCGCGAAAACUUUGCAAUACACGAAAGUGUGACAAGGCUAUCCCGAGUGCCAUCCGCUGAGGAAGGCUUUUACCCAGUAUAAAUAGCUGGGAGAAUAAGGAGAGGGCAAGUCUGGUGUCAGCCGCCGCGGUAAUACCAGCUCUCCGAGUAGUGUGGAUGUUUAUUGGGCCUAAAGCAUCCGUAGCUUGCUAGGCAAGUCCCCUGUUAAAUCCACCGAUUCAAUCGAUGGUUUGCGGGUGAUACUGUUUGGCUAGGGGACGGGAGAGGUCGACGGUAUUUCCGGGGUAGGGGUGGAAUCCUAUAAUCCCGGGAGGACCACCAGUGGCGAAGGCUGUCGACUAGAACGCGCCCGACGGUGA
rnacentral:rRNA from 1 species